GACGAACCGUGCAAACGUUAUUCGGAAUCACUGGGCAUAAAGGGCGCGUAGGCGGCUUGACAAGUCAGGGGUGAAAUCCGGCAGCUUAACUGUCGCAGUGCCUUGGAUACUGGUCAUCUCGAGGGAGGUAGGGGUCUGCGGAACUUCUGGUGGAGCGGUGAAAUGCGUUGAUAUCAGAAGGAACGCCGGUGGCGAAAGCGGCGGACUGGACCUUCACUGACGCUGAGGCGCGAAAGCUAGGGGAGCAAACGGGG
rnacentral:rRNA from 1 species